UACGUAGGCAGCAAGCGUUGUUCGGAGUUACUGGGCGUAAAGGGUGUGUAGGCGGUUCUUUAAGUUUGGUGUGAAAUCUCCCGGCUCAACUGGGAGGGUGCGCCGAAUACUGAGGGACUAGAGUACGGGAGAGGAAAGUGGAAUUCCUGGUGUAGCGGUGAAAUGCGUAGAUAUCAGGAGGAACACCGGUGGUGUAGACGGCUUUCUGGACCGACACUGACGCUGAAACGCGAAAGCGUGGGGAGCGAACCGG
rnacentral:rRNA from 1 species